rnacentral:rRNA from 1 species
GGGAUAACAGUUAGAAAUGACUGCUAAUACCGCAUAAGCGCACAGGACCGCAUGGUGUAGUGUGAAAAACUCCGGUGGUAUGAGAUGGACCCGCGUCUGAUUAGGUAGUUGGUGGGGUAAAGGCCUACCAAGCCGACGAUCAGUAGCCGACCUGAGAGGGUGACCGGCCACAUUGGGACUGAGACACGGCCCAAACUCCUACGGGAGGCAGCAGUGGGGAAUAUUGCACAAUGGGGGAAACCCUGAUGCAGCGACGCCGCGUGAAGGAAGAAGUAUUUCGGUAUGUAAACUUCUAUCAGCAGGGAAGAAAAUGACGGUACCUGAGUAAGAAGCACCGGCUAAAUACGUGCCAGCAGCCGCGGUAAUACGUAUGGUGCAAGCGUUAUCCGGAUUUACUGGGUGUAAAGGGAGCGUAGACGGAUAGGCAAGUCUGGAGUGAAAACCCAGGGCUCAACCCUGGGACUGCUUUGGAAACUGCAGAUCUGGAGUGCCGGAGAGGUAAGCGGAAUUCCUAGUGUAGCGGUGAAAUGCGUAGAUAUUAGGAGGAACACCAGUGGCGAAGGCGGCUUACUGGACGGUGACUGACGUUGAGGCUCGAAAGCGUGGGGAGCAAACAGGAUUAGAUACCCUGGUAGUCCACGCCGUAAACGAUGACUACUAGGUGUCGGUGUGCAAAGCACAUCGGUGCCGCAG